UACGUAGGGUGCGAGCGUUAAUCGGAAUUACUGGGCGUAAAGCGUGCGCAGGCGGUUCUGUAAGACAGUUGUGAAAUCCCCGGGCUCAACCUGGGAACUGCAUCUGUGACUGCAUCGCUGGAGUGCGGCAGAGGGGGAUGGAAUUCCGCGUGUAGCAGUGAAAUGCGUAGAUAUGCGGAGGAACACCGAUGGCGAAGGCAAUCCCCCUGGGCCUGCACUGACGCUCAUGCACGAAAGCGUGGGGAGCAAACAGG
rnacentral:rRNA from 1 species